rnacentral:rRNA from 1 species
GACGAACGCUGGCGGCGUGCUUAACACAUGCCAAUCGAACGGUGAAGGGACUGGUUUUGCUGGUCCUGGAUGAGUGGCGAACGGGUGAGUAACACGUGAGUAACCUGCCCCCUUCUUCUGGAUAACCGCAUGAAAGUGUGGCUAAUACGGGAUAUUCUGGGUCUGUCGCAUGGUGGGCCUGGGAAAGAUUGCGCCUUUUUUGGUGUUUUUGGUGGGGGAUGGGCUCGCGGCCUAUCAGCUUGUUGGUGGGGUGAUGGCCUACCAAGGCGGUGACGGGUAGCCGGCCUGAGAGGGUGGACGGGCACACUGGGACUGAGACACGGCCCAGACUCCUACGGGAGGCAGCAGUGGGGAAUAUUGCACAAUGGGCGCAAGCCUGAUGCAGCGACGCCGCGUGAGGGAUGGAGGCCUUCGGGUUGUGAACCUCUUUCGCCAGUGAAGCAGGCCUGCCUCUUUUUGUGGGUGGGUUGACGGUAGCUGGAUAAGAAGCGCCGGCUAACUACGUG